AGUAUACCAAAACAUAACCUAAAUAUUUACCGUCUAAAGUUUGAGCUUUGUUGCGUAUGGUUGUGCCAUCGAUAUUCUCGACAUUUAUUAAAUUUAAAUAAGAAAUUACAGAAUGAAUCAAAUAUGAAUCAACAAGUACUUGGGUAAGUGGGUAUCGAACCUACUCAAUCCAGCAUGUAAAAGUACCAACAAAGUCAGGAACAAAAAAGGAUAUUUUGUUGGAAUAGGCCUAACUCAAUUCAACCCCUGUAAUGGCAAACGGAAAGUGAUCUGAAGCAUAUUGGAGAGGUGCAGUAUUUUCAGUACAAUAUCUGUAUUUUUGGAUAUACAUCCUGGAACUGGACAAGUGUAUCUCCUUUCUGAAUAGUUAUAUUUGUUUACUGUUGUGCAAUACAUUUUAAAUAUACACUUACUGGAGUUUA